rnacentral:rRNA from 1 species
UACGUAGGGGGCUAGCGUUGUCCGGAAUCAUUGGGCGUAAAGCGCGUGUAGGCGGUCCGGUAAGUCCGCUGUGAAAGUCGAGGGCUCAACCCUCGAAUGCCGGUGGAUACUGUCGGGCUUGAGUACGGGAGAGGCGAGUGGAAUUCCUGGUGUAGCGGUGAAAUGCGCAGAUAUCAGGAGGAGCACCGAUUGCGAAGGCAGCUCGCUGGAACGUUACUGACGCUGAGACGCGAAAGCGUGGGGAGCAAACAGG